UUGUGUCACUCAAUCUGGUUGAAACAAAAUGAAAAGUUUUAUAGUUUUGAUUCUUUUAAUUAUAAUUUCAAUAUGUAACUGCUUAACAACGGUUCACGAAGAAGGAACAUCAGGGGGACCCUUGAUGUUUAAAGGUAAUACAUUUUCACUAAACGCAUUGGAGGGAUCAUCGAAAGCGAGACAAGUCAGGUAUCCAGAAGACGGAGAAUAUACCGCACCUAUAAGCUAUAUUAAAAUAGACGAUAUGCUGGACUCACGUUAUUCCACUGCAAAAGUUAAAGAGGGAGGUGUUGGUUCCAAUUUCGUCGUAAUUGAAUGUACUGCUCCAGCAUUCCGUGGCUACGUCUACGCAGUCGAAAUUAGAUGUUAAUCAAUGCGAUAGAAUUACAGUUUUUUCAUAAAAAGCGCAA